rnacentral:rRNA from 1 species
AUUGAACGCUGGCGGCAUGCCUUACACAUGCAAGUCGAACGGCAGCACGGGUGCUUGCACCUGGUGGCGAGUGGCGAACGGGUGAGUAAUACAUCGGAACAUGUCCUGUAGUGGGGGAUAGCCCGGCGAAAGCCGGAUUAAUACCGCAUACGAUCUACGGAUGAAAGCGGGGGACCUUCGGGCCUCGCGCUAUAGGGUUGGCCGAUGGCUGAUUAGCUAGUUGGUGGGGUAAAGGCCUACCAAGGCGACGAUCAGUAGCUGGUCUGAGAAGACGACCAGCCACACUGGGACUGAGACACGGCCCAGACUCCUACGGGAGGCAGCAGUGGGGAAUUUUGGACAAUGGGCGAAAGCCUGAUCCAGCAAUGCCGCGUGUGUGAAGAAGGCCUUCGGGUUGUAAAGCACUUUUGUCCGGAAAGAAAUCCUUGGCCCUAAUACGGUCGGGGGAUGACGGUACCGGAAGAAUAAGCACCGGCUAACUACGUG